CAUGCCCAAGAGAAAGGCUGAAGGGGAUGUUAAAGGAGAUAAAGUCACGAUGAAGGAUGAACCACAGAGAAGAUCAUGAGGUUGUCUACUAAACCUGCUCCUCCAAAGCCAGAGCUCAAGCCUAAAAACGCCCAUGCAAAGACAGGAGAGAAGAUACCCAUAGGGAAAAAGGGAAAAGCUGAUGCUGGCAAGGAGGGGAAUAACCCUGCAGAAAAUGGAGACGCCAAAACAGACCAGGCACAGAAAGCCGAAGGUGCUGGAGAUGCCAAGUGA
rnacentral:lncRNA from 1 species